AGUAAAAGUCGUAACAAGGUCUCCGUAGGUGAACCUGCGGAGGGAUCAUUACAAGAAACCCUACGGUAUUACUCCUCGGAGUAUUGCCGCUAGGUUAUUUCACAACCCUUUGUUGUCCGACUCUGUUGCCUCCGGGGCGACCCUGCCUUCGGGCGGGGGCUCCGGGUGGACACUUCAAACUCUUGCGUAACUUUGCAGUCUGAGUAAACUUAAUUAAUAAAUUAAAACUUUUAACAACGGAUCUCUUGGUUCUGGCAUCGAUGAAGAACGCAGCGAAAUGCGAUAAGUAAUGUGAAUUGCAGAAUUCAGUGAAUCAUCGAAUCUUUGAACGCACAUUGCGCCCCCUGGUAUUCCGGGGGGCAUGCCUGUUCGAGCGUCAUUUCACCACUCAAGCCUCGCUUGGUAUUGGGCAAUGCGGUCCGCCGCAUGCCUCAAAUCGACCGGCUGGGUCUUCUGUCCCCUAAGCGUUGUGGAAACUAUUCGCUAAAGGGUGUUCGGGAGGCUACGCCGUAAAACAACCCCAUUUCUAAGGUUGACCUCGGAUCAGGUAGGGAUACCCGCUGAACUUAAGCAUAUCAAUAAGCGGAGGAAAAGAAACCAACAGGGAUUGCCCCAGUAACG
rnacentral:rRNA from 1 species